rnacentral:rRNA from 1 species
CAGGCUAACACAUGCAAGUCGAGCGGUAACAGAAAGUAGCUUGCUACUUUGCUGACGAGCGGCGGACGGGUGAGUAAUGCUUGGGCAACAUGCCUUGAGGUGGGGGACAACAGUUGGAAACGACUGCUAAUACCGCAUAAUGUCUACGGACCAAAGGGGGCUUCGGCUCUCGCCUUUAGAUUGGCCCAAGUGGRAUUAGCUAGUUGGUGAGGUAAUGGCUCACCAAGGCGACGAUCCCUAGCUGGUUUGAGAGGAUGAUCAGCCACACUGGGACUGAGACACGGCCCAGAACUCCUACGGGAGGCAGCAGUGGGGAAUAUUGCACAAUGGGCGCAAGCCUGNAUGCAGCCAUGCCGCGUGUGUGAAGAAGGCCUUCGGGUUGUAAAGCACUUUCAGUCAGGAGGAAAGGUUAGUAGUUAAUACCUGCUAGCUGUGACGUUACUGACAGAAGAAGCACCGGCUAACUCCGUGCCAGCAGCCGCGGUAAUACGGAGGGUGCGAGCGUUAAUCGGAAUUACUGGGCGUAAAGCGUACGCAGGCGGUUUGUUAAGCGAGAUGUGAAAGCCCCGGGCUCAACCUGGGAACUGCAUUUCGAACUGGCAAACUAGAGUGUGAUAGAGGGUGGUAGAAUUUCAGGUGUAGCGGUGAAAUGCGUAGAGAUCUGAAGGAAUACCGAUGGCGAAGGCAGCCACCUGGGUCAACACUGACGCUCAUGUACGAAAGCGUGGGGAGCAAACGGGAUUAGAUACCCCGGUAGUCCACGCCGUAAACGAUGUCUACUAGAAGCUCGGAGCCUCGGUUCUGUUUUUCAAAGCUAACGCAUUAAGUAGACCGCCUGGGGAGUACGGCCGCAAGGUUAAAACUCAAAUGAAUUGACGGGGGCCCGCACAAGCGGUGGAGCAUGUGGUUUAAUUCGAUGCAACGCGAAGAACCUUACCUACACUUGACAUACAGAGAACU